rnacentral:rRNA from 1 species
GAUGAACGCUGGCGGCGUGCCUAAUACAUGCAAGUCGAGCGAACGGACGAGAAGCUUGCUUCUCUGAUGUUAGCGGCGGACGGGUGAGUAACACGUGGAUAACCUACCUAUAAGACUGGGAUAACUUCGGGAAACCGGAACUAAUACCGGAUAAUAUUUUGAACCGCAUGGUUCAAAAGUGAAAGACGGUCUUGCUGUCACUUAUAGAUGGAUCCGCGCUGCAUUAGCUAGUUGGUAAGGUAACGGCUUACCAAGGCAACGAUGCAUAGCCGACCUGAGAGGGUGAUCGGCCACACUGGAACUGAGACACGGUCCAGACUCCUACGGGAGGCAGCAGUAGGGAAUCUUCCGCAAUGGGCGAAAGCCUGACGGAGCAACGCCGCGUGAGUGAUGAAGGUCUUCGGAUCGUAAAACUCUGUUAUUAGGGAAGAACAUAUGUGUAAGUAACUGUGCACAUCUUGACGGUACCUAAUCAGAAAGCCACGGCUAACUACGUG